rnacentral:rRNA from 1 species
CGUGUAGGCGGCCGAAUAAGUCGGGCGUGAAAGCCCUGGGCUUAACCCAGGAAGUGCGUUCGAUACUGUUUGGCUUGAGUACGGGAGAGGGUAGUGGAAUUCCCGGUGUAGAGGUGAAAUUCGUAGAUAUCGGGAGGAACACCAGUGGCGAAGGCGGCUACCUGGACCGAUACUGACGCUGAGACGCGAAAGCGUGGGGAGCAAACAGGAUUAGAUACCCUGGUAGUCC